rnacentral:misc_RNA from 1 species
GGAAGUAAAAAUCGUAACAAGGUCUCCGUUGGUGAACCAGCGGAGGGAUCAUUACCGAGUUUACAACUCCCAAACCCCAUGUGAACCUUACCAAACGUUGCUUCGGCGGGAUGCCCCGGGCGCGGGCCGCAAGGCCUCAGCCCCGGAACCAGGCGCCCGCCGGAGGCCCAAACCAAACUCUUGUUUUUGUAGAAUCUUCUGAGUGGCCUUUUAGGCAAAAAAUGAAUCAAAACUUUCAACAACGGAUCUCUUGGUUCUG